rnacentral:rRNA from 1 species
GAUGAACGCUGGCGGCGUGCCUAAUACAUGCAAGUCGAGCGAACGGACGAGAAGCUUGCUUCUCUGAUGUUAGCGGCGGACGGGCGAGUAACACGUGGAUAACCUACCUAUAAGACUGGGAUAAUUUCGGGAAACCGGAGCUAAUACCGGAUAAUAUUUUGAACCGCAUGGUUCAAAAGUGAAAGACGGUCUUGCUGUCACUUAUAGAUGGAUCCGCGCUGCAUUAGCUAGUUGGUAAGGUAACGGCUUACCAAGGCAACGAUGCAUAGCCGACCUGAGAGGGUGAUCGGCCGCACUGGAACUGAGACACGGUCCAGACUCCUACGGGAGGCAGCAGUAGGGAAUCUUCCGCAAUGGGCGAAAGCCUGACGGAGCAACGCCGCGUGAGUGAUGAAGGUCUUCGGAUCGUAAAACUCUGUUAUUAGGGAAGAACAUAUGUGUAAGUAACUGUGCACAUCUUGACGGUACCUAAUCAGAAAGCCACGGCUAACUACGUG